UACGGAGGGGGUUAGCGUUGUUCGGAAUUACUGGGCGUAAAGCGCACGCAGGCGGUUUGUUAAGCUAGAUGUGAAAGCCCCGGGCUCAACCUGGGAUGGUCAUUUAGAACUGGCAGACUAGAGUCUUGGAGAGGGGAGUGGAAUUCCAGGUGUAGCGGUGAAAUGCGUAGAUACCUGGAGGAACAUCAGUGGCGAAGGCGACUCCCUGGCCAAAGACUGACGCUCAUGUGCGAAAGUGUGGGUAGCGAACAGG
rnacentral:rRNA from 1 species